CUCGUCUGAGGGGACAAGAGGAUCACCCUCGUCGUCGCUUCGGCCAGUGCGUCGGGCUGGGCCCUGACAAGCCACCUGAGGAGAGGUUCGGAGCCGGGCCCGGACCCCGGCGAUUGCCGCCCGCUUCUCCUGCUUCUGGUCUCACGAGGUGUUUCCCGCCUCGCACCCCCACCUCUGGACUUGCCUUGCCUUCUCUCUCCGCGUGUGGAGGGAGCCAGCGCUUAGGCCGGAGCGAGCCUGGGGGCCGCCCGGCGUGAAGGCAUCGCGGGGACCGAUUCACCAUG
rfam:Papio anubis isolate 1X1155 chromosome 7, whole genome shotgun sequence.